GUGUGCUUUUCUUAUUUCCAUUUGUGUUUGUUGUUGGAGGUAUUUAUAUCUAUCUCUGUCUCUCUUUUUCUUUGUUUUCCUUGAUUUCUUGUAAGCUUUGUUUUUCCUUCUUAUUAGACGCUUGAUGUUGGUAUUGAUCCAAGGAUGGGUGAAUUUUGUAGUUGUCAUCUUUGUUGGUACUUUCUGAUCAAUAAUUUUCAUGAUGUUUUCUUUGAAAU
rnacentral:lncRNA from 1 species